CUCACACUCACACUCACACUCACACACACACACAAGCAAGUCAUAUUAUCCUAAUCUGUGUCACAAAAAACAACAAACAUUUUGUAGAGAAAAUGAUUUGAUGCAUUGCCUUUCAUGUUAAUGGAUGACCAACGGAAACAGCGAGAGAGAACAACAACUGCUAUCGUAAAGAUGAUCUCUUCGCUCAAUGUUCUCUCUCUGUGGCUGCGUCAACGCAGUAGGCUCCCAGCACAUUAAAUGAGCUCCACAAUAAUUAAAGCUGCAUGGCAAACAGUCCUCCUUUCCUUUAUUCAGUGAUAUGACGUUUGGUAAUCAUUGUAGGAUAAUGGCUACAUUUAGACAUUUGAGACGUGCAUGUCACCCUGUCUACAUCCCUGUCUACAUUUCUACACAAUCAGAGUAAGAGAAAGAAAAGAGCCUGUUGGGUCGUUGUCAUUCCCUGUUGCUUUUCUUAUUUCUUCAUUAUUCCUCACAGUCUGCUUCUUGUCGCGUUACGUAACGUCCCCCUAUCACUCGAUUGGCCCGCGGGGCGUCAGCGUGAAGUUAUGGGAAAACAAAAGGGUGAGGACACAGGUUGAGCCAAUUAAACGAUGCAAAAGCCAAGGGAUAUGCCUUUCGGUAUUGUUCUUGCCCGGGAGGGAAAAUGUCACAGCAGUGGCGCUGGUGCUGGCGCUGCUUUGGAGCGGAUCUGACACUCCGCAGAGGGAGGUCAAAGGCCAGCAGCAGAGGGAGGUCAAAGGCCACUAACAGAGUGGUUGGAACAAAACAGAAGCAGUGGGUGGUCCGGGGGAAGAUGGCUGACCCACCUCUGGUGGUCCAACAUCAAGAGGACUGGAGGACAAAGACAAUAAUACAUGGAGCAGCUCCCUGGACUCUGUCUACUCUGGCUGCACAGGAAAUGGAGCAAGACUGCAGAGUGGAGGACACAAAUGGACAUUCAAAAGUGAGCGACUUUGACAGCAUGGGGGCGGUCGUGGUGGUGUGGCAGCAACACAGCCACCGUAGUGUGUCUGUGGGAAGGGGAUAGAACUGCAUGUAAUGACAGAUACCCUGUGGGGCUCUAUAUCCUCCUGCUGUUGUAUGGAAUCAGGUAGCUUCACUUCAUAGAAUGGGGGAGGGAGGGAAAUGGGGGUAAAUGUAGCCUGUACAUUACUGGUACUAUUACAUAUGAUUCAGACACUGUGGCUGAUUACCUCAUAAUAGGAAUGCCUUAUCACUUGUAUUAUCAGUGUUAUGUUAUACUGCACUAUGUUAUAGCAAGAGAUCAAAUGCAUUUUCUGUGUUUUAAAAGUGUACUUUUCCAUUGGAAAAUAUAGGAAAUGCUUCUUCA